GAUGAACGCUGGCGGCGUGCCUAAUACAUGCAAGUCGAGCGAACGGACGAGAAGCUUGCUUCUCUGAUGUUAGCGGCGGACGGGUGAGUAACACGUGGAUAACCUACCUAUAAGACUGGGAUAAAUUCGGGAAACCGUAGCUAAUACCGGAUAAUAUUUUGAACCGCAUGGUUCAAAAGUGAAAGACGGUCUUGCUGUCACUUAUAGAUGGAUCCGCGCUGCAUUAGCUAGUUGGUAAGGUAACGGCUUACCAAGGCAACGAUGCAUAGCCGACCUGAGAGGGUGAUCGGCGACAGUGGAACUGAGACCCGGUCGAGACUCCGACGGGAGGCAGAAGUACGGAAUCUUCCGCAAUGGGGGAAAGCCUGACGGAGCAACGCCGCGUGAAUGAUGAGGGUCUUCGGAUCGUAAAACUCUGUUAUUAGGGAAGAACAUAUGUGUAAGUAACUGUGCACAUCUUGACGGUACCUAAUCAGAAAGCCACGGCUAACUACGUG
rnacentral:rRNA from 1 species